CCUACGGGGGGCAGCAGUAGGGAAUAUUGCACAAUGGGGGAAACCCUGAUGCAGCAACGCCGCGUGGGUGAUGAAGGUUUUCGUAUUGUAAACCCCUAUUGUUAGAGAAGAUAAUGACGGUAUCUAACUAAUAAGCACCGGCUAACUACGUGCCAGCAGCCGCGGUAAUACGUAGGGUGCAAGCGUUACCCGGAUUUACUGGGUGUAAAGGGCGCGUAGGCGGGAGUGCAAGUCUGAUGUGAAAGCCUUCGGCUUAACCGUAGUACUGCAUUUGAAACUGUUCGGCUGGAGUGCAGGAGAGGGAAGUGGAAUGCCUAGUGUAGCGGUGAAAUGCGUAGAUAUAAGGAGGAACACCAGUGGCGAAGGCGGCUGUCUGGUCUGCAACUGACGCUGAGGCUCGAAAGCGUGGGUAGCGAACAGGAUUAGAUACCCCUGUAGUC
rnacentral:rRNA from 1 species